UUCCUUGUUCUAUUCGGCCAAGGGCGGAGCUCCGGCGAGAUCCUCACGCCGUCGCCGCCGCUCUGGUCUGACUCCAGAGGGAGAGCAAUGGAGGGCGCCACGCUUCCGUGCUUCGAGUGCUUGGAGCGCGUCGUCCGGUCCGAUCUCUCGGCGGAUCUCGUCUUCCGCUAUGGGGUCUCCGACUCCGCCCUGCCCAUUGGCUCCACCGCUGUCGUCCAGGUACAAUGGUGUCCAAGUCAUACUAAAGAAUGCUGAAAGAUGUUUGUCAAGGACUGGUGUAAUUUAAGUAAUUGAGAUCUCUGAAGCUGUAUGACAUGUAGUAAAAUUGACCAUUCUAUACAGAGUAAGAUGGUGAUUAAAAAUAACUGCUGUCUUUGCCAUAGAUUACCUUCUCUCAAUUUGGAUGCAGAAAUGAUGUGGUUAUUUUAAAAAUUCAAAUAGGUCUAAUAAGAUCUGUACGACUUUAUUCAUUCAAAACUGCCAUAAUUCAUUAUUUUAGUUCCUUUUGGUUAA